CCUACGGGAGGCAGCAGUGGGGAAUAUUGGACAAUGGGCGCAACCCUGAUCCAGCGACGCCGCGUGAGUGAAGAAGUAUUUCGGUCUGUAAACCUCUUUCCUCAGGGACGAAAAUAAUGGUACUUCCCUAAGAAGACCCCGCUAACUACGUCCCAGCAGCCGCGGUAAUACGUAGGUGGCGAGCGUGAUCCGGCUUUACUGGUUGUAAGGGGUGAGUUGACGGUGAGGCAGGUCUGAUGUGAAAGCUCUGGGCUCAACCCAGAGACGGCAUUGGAAACGGGUGAACUUGAGUACAGGAGAGGUAAGCGGAAUGCCGAGUGUAGCGGUGAAAUGCGUAGAUAUAAGGAGGAACACCAGUGGCGAAGGCGGAUUACUGGACAGUAACUGACGCUGAGGCGCGAAAGCGUGGGGAGCAAACAGGAUUAGAUACCCCAGUAGUC
rnacentral:rRNA from 1 species